CUUUCCCAAAGUUGUCUUCAGUGUUGGUGUGGACCAGAGGCAAACCCUGGGGCCGUGCCGGGCUAGUGCGGGCGGCUGCUGGACUCGAGAUGUCCCCGUUCAGGAUGUCCUGAAUGUGCUGCACGAUGAGGUUUAUGGCAACUGCAGAGAGGAACAGAGGAAGAGAGGACAUGAAGGCUCUCGUGGCUGAGUUAUCUAGAAAAUGUGGAGCAUCCAGCCCUGCUCAACUCAAGUUUUAACAAGCCCUUAAAUGAAACUUUGCCUGCUGUCUGCAGUGAGAACCAGUGGUGGAGGAGGCUGUUAAUGGGAAAAGCCAACUUCAUUCCAGGAAGAAGCAACCAAAGACCAGAAAACUGGGCAAAGAUGGAAGGCCCUAGUGCUCCAGGGUGAGAAUCACCAGGUAGAAACAGCAGGUCAGGUGUGGAGUCCUUUGCUUUUAUCCAUCUGUGCCUUCAAACGUUGCCCACUUCAGGCAAGGUCUGUUUGCCAAGAGCUGGUUUUAAUCAGCAUUUUGCAAGACAUUGCUAAAUCUCUGCUGAGAGCCAAGGGUUGAAUGCAUCAAAUCGUUAUCGAAGGCAUCUGCGAGAGGGAAGUUGAAAGAGAAGGACUUUCAGAUGGUGUUGUAGCAAAUGAUCUCAGAUUUUUCCAGACCCAAAGGAAAAACCCUCUGCCCAGUAUUUCACCAAGAAAAAAGGAACUUGCAGCUUAUUCUUUCCUACCACUAGCAACACAGCACUCUCUGCCCAAGUGACAAUGGCUGUGUUUGGUUUCCGAGAUAAGGAAGAGACAGUUUGCUGUUUACAAGCAACUAAAACACAAUGAAAUUAAGAGGUGAAGCCGGUCAUUUUAAAUUUUAUCAACCCUUAGUAAUUGUGUAAUUUUGUGCAACUUUGUUAAUCUGUUAGUCAAGAGUCAAUUGGAAAAGCCCAGGCAUCUUUCACGGUUUCCAUUACCCACCCAACAGGCACCAGACUUCAGCCAAGGGCAGCUCCCUGUCCCGCCUACAAUCCACAGCACUCCCCUGGGCAAGGGGAGCAGCUGUUUGUGUGGACAAGAAGUAACAGGAAAGGAUUUGGGGAAUGAUGUUCAUUAAGGAGCCUCUCAAGAGCAGGGAGUGGAGCAGGGAGCAGGCUGGGAUGCCCUCCACGGUCCAGAAGGGCCGUCAGUAACAACGGGCACGAGGGAAGGACAAAUGGAUAUUUUGGUGGGGGAAAGCACAAAAGCACAUUUCUGUUCUCCAACACUUCCAAAUUUCCUACAGGCGCUUCCCGUAAGACCCAGCUGCGCUCCAAGCACCGACCGAACCCUGCUGGGGCCGGGCCGGU